rnacentral:rRNA from 1 species
AAUGAACGUUGCGGCGUGGAUUAGGCAUGCAAGUCGUGCGAGACCUUGCAGACGGAAGCUUCGGCCGAAGUCUGCAAGUGAAAGCGGCGUAAGGGAGAGUAACGCGUGGAUACUAACCCCCGGGUCUCGGGAUAGCGUCGAGAAACUGGCGGUAAUACCAGAUAAUGUCUCCGGACCAAAGGUGUGAUUCCGUCUCGGGGAUGGGUCCGCGUCCUAUUAGCUUGUUGGUGGGGUAACGGCCUACCAAGGCGAAGAUGGGUAGCGGGCGUGAGAGCGUGGCCCGUCUCACUGGGACUGAGACACUGCCCAGACACCUACGGGUGGCUGCAGUCGAGAAUCUUCGGCAAUGGGCGCAAGCCUGACCGAGCGACGCCGCGUGCGGGAUGAAGGCCUUCGGGUUGUAAACCGCUGUCAGGAGGGAGGAAAUGCAUAGGGGUACUCUCCUAUGUUUGACCGAUCUCCAAAGGAAGUGCGGGCUAAGUACGUG